ensembl:lncRNA
CGGCUGAGUUCGUCUGGAGGGGCAAGAGGGGCUCUAGCCCCACCAGCCCAAUGCAAUGUGUAUUGGACUUGAAACAUUGAAAUGCGCAUGCUCAGAGUGUUUCUCUGUUGAAGUGGACGGAGAUUAUUUUACUUCCUGGUGGGGCUAGCCCCUCCGGGACCGCAAUGGACAUAUAUGGUUCGUUCCACUACAGCGUCAUUUCGUUUUUCAUAGUUCAUUGGGUGUAGGGUGAGGCACGUGAUGAGUCAUGACUCGAGUGACCUCCCACCUCACCUCACUUGCCGUGCGCAAGAUGUACGGUAGCAAAGAUGAGAAGAAGAAGAAGAAGGAUAACUUUGCUAACAAACAUGCCGGAGGCACACACACGAAAACGAAUCGACAACAUGAAUGUGGUAGAUCAUCUAUUGGAGCACAGAUUUGAGACCCUUAGUCUGGAGGAAAAAUUAGAGUGGUGCAGUGGAGGGCACUCUGCCUAACUGUGGGAGGUGGAGAGAGCUGUGAACUAACCCCCUGGAGACCGGGGUUCAAGUCCGGUUGAUUUCCUCUGUUGGAAGACUCUUAUUUCAAUUUCAUGCGAAUUAUAAUGUCAAGUAUAACCAUUGUGAGGACAUUAUUCAGUGUCUUGAUGGUGCAUUGAUAAGUUCGGAGGUUAAUACUCUAAAUAGCACAGGUUCGGAUCCCCGCAAUAACGUUGACAGGGGUACCACUGAUGUUUUUUAUUGGUCAACAUGGAAAAAACAUGAGGGGUAACAGUCGUUUUUUAUCGGCCGUCAUGAAAUAAACAUAAU